rnacentral:rRNA from 1 species
GUGCCAGCAGCCGCGGUAAUACGAAGGGGGCUAGCGUUGCUCGGAAUCACUGGGCGUAAAGGGCGCGUAGGCGGCCAUUCAAGUCGGAGGUGAAAGCCCAGGGCUCAACCCUGGAAUUGCCUUCGAUACUGUUUGGCUAGAGACCGGAAGAGGUAAGUGGAACUGCGAGUGUAGAGGUGAAAUUCGUAGAUAUUCGCAAGAACACCAGUGGCGAAGGCGGCUUACUGGUCCGGUUCUGACGCUGAGGCGCGAAAGCGUGGGGAGCAAACAGGAUUAGAUACCCUGGUAGUCC